GGCACUGACUCCAUGGCUCAGAGGAGGGAAAUCCAGGGAAGGGCUGAAUGCUCUGUGUUUAAGGGAGAGAUAGAAUGGACAGCUGGGCAAACACACACCCGGGGACUCCUUUCUCCAAGACCGAUGGGCAUUGGGGGUGGCAGAGGAAAUACCAGCAUGGAACAACAUCCCAGGGACCCGCGUCCUCCCCAGGUUACAGUCCUGGGUCCCUGCAUGGCUGCAUGUUGUCUGCAGGCCACAUCUCCUCAGGACUCCCGCACUCAUCACUUUCCCAUUGCUAUGGAAGAGAGGUGUCAAGGUGGCACCUGCCUCCCUGUCCGUAGUGCUCAGGUGUGUGGCUACCAGAGGAAAAGCCACUCCCAACCUUUGCCGACAACCAUCCCGUUUCUGGGUUCCUGGAGAAGUCUGGGAAGCUGCUCUGUUGUAGAGGCUGAAAGGAGGGCUGGUGAGAGCCCCCAGCUGAAACCAGCCCUGCCCCUUACCCUUCCUCACCCCUCUACCUUCACUCUCCUCCUAACACUCCAGGGUUUUGUUUUUUGUUUGUUUUUUGCUUUUCUCACCCCAGGGCUCCUGCCUCUCCAGCCUGGAGACAGAUUUGAUUUGGGAUUGUUACAAAAAUAAUAAUAACCCAAAUGCAGAGAAGCCACGGAAAGGGCUGAGGGCAACCCUCCCCUCCCCCCGCCCUCCUCCCUCCCCAUUCCAAACCGAGUACAAAACCGCACCCAAAGCAGACAUUCUGUACAGGGGGGUGGGUGGGCUGGGGAGCAAGCGGGAGGGGCGGCCCUGCGGUUGCUCUGUACAAGUCCGGGUUGGUGACGGCCCCAGCAGUCCCCACAGGGCCCCUGGGGGGCGCAGGAAGUGGGCAGGCGCCUCUAGAUGAAAUAUUCCUUCUUGUCGUCCCCUCCUGACUGCCCGCCUUCUGCAUUGAUGAUGGCCGUGUCCGCGUCUGGAGCAUCGUCGGAGCCUUUUGCCUCAUGUGUCAGUAGUGGCCAAGGAAGAUGAGCAUGAUGAGCAGCAGGAAGACAAUGAAAGCCACGAUCCCACCGAUGAUGGCGUGUCCCGCCCACUUAAGGAUAUUCCUGGAAGAAGAUGCAGUAGCUCCUUCUACCACCAGGCGUCAGCACUGGAAACAGACGCAGUCCAACAGGACUCCCUCUGCCUGGCUGUUGAGCACAAAGCAGAGGGGAGAUCAGCAAGAUACCAACCACAAGGGCACAAGAACUUUCUCUCACUGCCAAUCAUCAUCAGAUUGGUCUGGAGAGAUCUGGGGGCAGAGACCGGAGCUCAGUGCAUUGUCCUUGCUCUUGGCAUCCUACAAUAGCCUUGUUGUGCUGAGGCAGCUCCCACAUGCUGAGGUCUGCCCCUGGAGUGGGAAUCACCCAUCCAGACAUUCUGAUCCCAAGAACUCAGACCUCUUAUCGCUGGGAGGCCUGGCUCUUAUCCCCUCAACUGUUUUAAUGAGUGUCUCAAGUAAGGGAGCCUCUGAUGUUUCCCCGACAAUGCAUUUCCCCUAUUCUGAGAAAAGAUAAGACUUUCUGGCGGGACCCACAGCCAUUGGGAUCUUCAAAAAAAUCGCCCGUCAACUCUCCAUAAAGGGGCCUCUGUGUCACCCUGUCACUACUCCUGAAGCUGGGUUUUGUGGUCACAGCUUUGAGAAGAACUUCAGAGAAGGAGCAUCACCUGGUCCUUCUAGAAGAUAUGGCAUCUGAGAAAAGAUUCUGUCUCUUGGCAUAGUACAAGCUUCUCUCUAUUUUCUGUCCAGACCCAGUACACUGUGCUUAAGGUGGGCAGAAAAAAAAAUGACAGCAGUUGCAUGCACCCAAUACCUAGUCUUAGGAGAAGCAACUCUGAGAAGAGCCAGUUAGAGAAGGAAAUGCACCUGCGCCUGCACUUGAGAGGCUUUGGGGCCUCUGCACACAGAAUUAUUGUUCUUGUUGUCAGACAAGUGCAGGGGAUGGAAGAUGGUGUCACCCAGGCCACCACUACCAAAGAAAGGCAGAUGAGAGCCCACCCUUCUAAUGUUUUUUCACUAAGCGGCCAUUACACAUUCUAGAGUGGACCUGGGACCUAAGCCCUCAGGGACCCCAGUGGUGGGCUGGUUUUCCUUUACUCCACUCCCCGUCACAGUUUGGGGAUGUUAUCAGGAAGCAUUUUAAAAAAGGGAAUAAGAUGGACAGAGAAAGGAGAUUCUGGAGGAAGAGAACUGAGGAGGGCUUACCAUUAACAUUGAGGGUGUAGUAGGCCUUGUAGCUGCCCAUGUUGCUGGUGGCUGUGCAGCCGUAGGUGCCACUGUCACUCUUGUUGAGGAAAGGGAAGAUCAGGGCACUCUCCUGGGUCAUCUUCAGGGGUGGCACACUGCCCUCCUUCUCCCAUAGGUACUGCUGGGGGCUGUCGAGGCAGACAAAUCAGAAGAGCUCAGGAGAGCAUAGGCCAGGGAGCUAAAAGAAAAAAAAAAAUAACUGGGAGCAGGGAUGUCAAGGACUGUUUGAUGAGGCUGGAGAAAUUAUCGGGGCCAGAGACACUGGAGCUGCUAUACGCCAGGUGGCCUCUUGGGGUUCGUUCUGGGGAAGCUGUAGAUCUCCAGACUUGUAUCUUACUUUAACUUGGCCUUUGUGGGAAACUCAGGGACUGAGUUAGGGAGUGGCCCCUUCCCAUUUGUGCUGCUUUGCAGAAGAACUAAUUGCAGGCGGACAUUAUUGGACAGUCAGGGAAAUGAGAGGCUCAGGUCAGACAAUACAGAGGAGAUAGGAAGGAGCUGUUAUGUGAAGAAGGCAAUCUGAGAAUGUGGAGAGUAAGGAGGAGACCAGGAAAUGGAUCUUCUUACACUGGAUUGCCGCGACCCUCACAGUGUAGCAACAGCUUCUGGCCCUCACGAGGAUGGGGAGGGUCUGGCCUAAUCAUCGCAGUUGGUGUGUCUGUGGAGAAGGAAAUGGUAUCAAUGAAUACCUCCCCACACGGCUUAGGAGAUUCCCUCACUUAGUUGCACACUACAGCUUCUACCUCUAAAUGUUUCCGCAGCUCAAGAAGUGCAACAAAGACCUUCCUUCUCCUACUUCUCAUGAACAAGGACCAUUAUUGCUAUUGAAUAUGUGAGCAACUUCUCUUGCAACCUUGUGUGAUAGGAUUCUGGAAGGUCUGUCCUUGGUGGGCCCUAAGAGAUGUCUUAACAGAAAGCUGAGAAGGGAAAUGAGUGGUUUACCUGUGCCUAGCAAACCUCCUAGCACAUAGGAAAGACCUAAUACAUAUUUUUUACAGAACAAAUAAAGUUGAACUUGUCACAUAUUGAGCUCACAA
rnacentral:lncRNA from 1 species